rnacentral:rRNA from 1 species
GAUGAGCGCUGGCGGCGUGCCUAAUACAUGCAAGUCGAGCGAAUGGAUUAAGAACUUGCUCUUAUGAAGUUAGCGGCGGACGGGUGAGUAACACGUGGGUAACCUGCCCAUAAGACUGGGAUAACUCCGGGAAACCGGGGCUAAUACCGGAUAACAUUUUGAACCGCAUGGUUCGAAAUUGAAAGGCGGCUUCGGCUGUCACUUAUGGAUGGACCCGCGUCGCAUUAGCUAGUUGGUGAGGUAACGGCUCACCAAGGCAACGAUGCGUAGCCGAGCUGAGAGAGUGAACGGCCACACUGGGACUGAGACACGGCCCAGACUCCUACGGGAGGCAGCAGUAGGGAAUCAUCCGCAAUGGACGAAAGUCUGACGGGGCAACGCCGCGUGAGUGAUGAAGGCUUUCGGGUCGUAAAACUCUGUUGUUAGGGAAGAACAAGUGCUAGUUGAAUAAGCUGGCACCUUGACGGUACCUAACCAGAAAGCCACGGCUAACUACGUGCCAGCCGCCGCAGUAA